CGUAACUUGCGUAAGCGUAACUUGCGCCAAAUUCCGUCAGCCAAUCAAAUCGUUUCAUCUACUAUAUGCAUAUCCGCUUAGUUAUUUAACGCAUUUUACGCUUUUGCCGAUACGCCAAAUCCAAUUUUUCACGUAAAUCGGUAAUGCAUAUGUAUUAGUGAUGUGUGUGUACGUGCGAUCACCAAGUAUUGUAAUGUAAUUUGACUCACGAAAAUUAGAAAAAAUGGAUCAAAUUCGGUUAAAAAAAAUCCAAUGGUUGACAGAAAAGAAAAUUUGGAUGAACUAUUAAUCGAAGCAGUUAGAAGCAAACGUGGGCUGUAUGAUUCUUGUAUACCUGCUUCAGAGAGAACUAUGUUGCGCAAAAAUGCAUUAUAGAUGAAAGUUUCGAAUAUAUUACAAGGAUUUCUCAGUCCAGAGAAAGCUAAAGCUCGAUAGAAGUAUCUGUGAGAUAAUUAUAUAAAAGCUCGCAAGAAGAUUCGAGCAUACAUACCCAGUGGAUCGGCAGCUACUGCUACUAAAACCAAUAAUAACUCGAGGUUUCAAUAUUAUGAGCUUAUGAGAUUCCUGAACGAAUCAUUGCAAACACGACAGAUAGUAAGUUCAUUAUCAGAUGCCAGUGCUAAGAAUGAAGUAGUCACUUCAUUUGACACAGAAAAUGAGCAACACAAAAGUAAUGCUAUAGCUGGACCUUCGAAAGCGCUUCACACACAGAUUUCAGCCAGCAACAAUUCUCCACAGACUUCCUUAUGUGUUCCUUCACGGACGCCGACACCUACAAAUAUUUCUCUACAGUCGCUCGAUUCUGACGUUUUUUCACAAACCCCGACAUUCACAAAAGAUUUUUCAUCAACUGAAAAUAGAGUACCUACACGAACACAAACUACAAAAUUGAAACGUUUGUUUAUUUAUUAAAUAAAAAGAGCCAAUACGAGCCGUAAACAAAGUAUCCGUGUUUAAAUAUUUUGUUCUAUGUUUAACGUCAAACAAUGUCAACAACGUUUUCAAAACGAUAAAGAUUUUAAAACGUUAAACAUAGAAUAAAUCAUUUAAACACAGACUCUGUUUACGUCUCGUAUUGGCCUUUUUUUAUUUAUUAAAUUUUACAAGCAGAAAUAAAUAAUAAUUUGUUUAUUUAUUUUCAUUUGUCGGAGUUUUUAUAAUUUUUACAGCAAAAAUGACAUUUUAAUUUCUUUGUAGAAUCGGAGCAAAUCUUUUUUGACGAUUACGAGCCGCCUGCAAAAAGUAAAUGUUUUUAAAUUUAAGUUUUUUAUUAUAUUGAUGUACAAUAAAAUAUUUCUAUUAUUAA